AACGAACGCUGGCGGCAUGCCUAACACAUGCAAGUCGAACGAAGGCUUCGGCCUUAGUGGCGCACGGGUGCGUAACGCGUGGGAAUCUGCCCUCAGGUACGGAAUAACUCAGGGAAACUUGAGCUAAUGCCGUAUAAUGACUUAGGUCCAAAGAUUUAUCGCCUGGGGAUGAGCCCGCGUCGGAUUAGCUAGUUGGUGAGGUAAAAGCUCACCAAGGCGACGAUCCGUAGCUGGUCUGAGAGGAUGAUCAGCCACACUGGGACUGAGACACGGCCCAGACUCCUACGGGAGGCAGCAGUGGGGAAUAUUGGACAAUGGGCGCAAGCCUGAUCCAGCAAUGCCGCGUGAGUGAUGAAGGCCUUAGGGUUGUAAAGCUCUUUUACCCGGGAAGAUAAUGACUGUACCGGGAGAAUAAGCCCCGGCUAACUCCGUGCCAGCCGCCGCGGUAAUAC
rnacentral:rRNA from 1 species